GCCCGGUUAGCUCAGUCGGUAGAGCAUCAGACUUUUAAAGCUGAAUUCAUCAGAGGUAUCUGAGGGUCAAGGGUUCGAGUCCCUUAUUGGGCG
rnacentral:tRNA from 1 species